CUCAACCCGUAUCAGCAUUCAAAACUGUGGUUCUGAGUAAUGCAGAGGUAGGCGGAAUUCCCGGUGUAGCGGUGGAAUGCGUAGAUAUCGGGAGGAACACCAGUGGCGAAGGCGGCCUACUGGGCAUCAACUGACGCUGAGGCUCGAAAGCAUGGGUAGCCAACAGGAUUAGAUACCCUGGUAGUCCAUGCUGUAAACGAUGAUUACUAGGUGUGGGAAGAUUGACCCUUUCCGUGCCGCAGUUAACACAAUAAGUAAUCCACCUGGGGAGUACGACCGCAAGGUUGAAACUCAAAGGAAUUGACGGGGGCCCGCACAAGCAGUGGAGUAUGUGGUUUAAUUCGAAGCAACGCGAAGAACCUUACCAGGUCUUGACAUCCAACGACCGCCUAAGAGAUUAGGCUUUCCUUCGGGACGUUGAGACAGGUGGUGCAUGGUUGUCGUCAGCUCGUGUCGUGAGAUGUUGGGUUAAGUCCCGCAACGAGCGCAACCCUUAUUACUAGUUACUACGCAAGAGGACUCUAGUGAGACUGCCGUUGACAAAACGGAGGAAGGUGGGGAUGACGUCAAAUCAUCAUGCCCUUUAUGACCUGGGCUACACACGUACUACAAUGGCUAUUAACAGAGAGAAGCGAGACCGCAAGGUGGAGCAAACCUCAGAAAAAUAGUCUCAGUCCGGAUUGGGGGCUGCAACCCGCCCCCAUGAAGCCGGAAUUGCUAGUAAUCGCGGAUCAGCAUGCCGCGGUGAAUACGUUCCCGGGCCUUGUACACACCGCCCGUCACACCAUGAGAGCCGGGGGGACCCGAAGUCGGUAGUCUAACCGCAAGGAGGACGCCGCCGAAGGUAAAACUGGUGAUUGGGGUGAAGUCGUAACAAGGUAACCGU
rnacentral:rRNA from 1 species